CCGAACAUGAAUUAGUGAUCACCAACACAAGGGGAUCAUAAGGCAUAAGGAUCAUGUGGAAAUGGACUCAAGCAAGAAAGGCAAAAGGGUAAAAAGGAGGCAAGGGAACGGACGCAAAAAGGUUGUACGAAUCACGGGCGGUUAUCACGAGGAAUAGA